AGUGAACGCUGGCGGUAGGCCUAACACAUGCAAGUCGAACGGCAGCACAGUAAGAGCUUGCUCUUACGGGUGGCGAGUGGCGGACGGGUGAGGAAUACAUCGGAAUCUACUUUUUCGUGGGGGAUAACGUAGGGAGACUUACGCUAAUACCGCAUACGACCUACGUGUGAAAGCAGGGGAUCUUCGGACCUUGCGCGAUUGAAUGAGCCGAUGUCGGAUUAGCUAGUUGGCGGGGUAAAGGCCCACCAAGGCGACGAUCCGUAGCUGGUCUGAGAGGAUGAUCAGCCACACUGGAACUGAGACACGGUCCAGACUCCUACGGGAGGCAGCAGUGGGGAAUAUUGGACAAGGGGCGCAAGCCUGAUCCAGCCAUACCGCGUGGGUGAAGAAGGCCUUCGGGUUGUAAAGCCCUUUUGUUGGGAAAGAAAAGCAGCAGGUUAAUACCCCGCUGUUCUGACGGUACCCAAAGAAUAAGCACCGGCUAACUUCGU
rnacentral:rRNA from 1 species